CCCUUAGAUGUCCGGGGCCGCACGCGCGCUACACUGAAGGAAUCAGCGUGGCUUUCUCCCUGACCCGAAAGGGUUGGGAAACCCGUUGAAUCUCCUUCGUGAUAGGGAUUGGGGCUUGAAAUUGUUCCCCAUGUACGAGGAAUUCCCAGUAAGCGCGAGUCAUAAGCUCGCGUUGAUUACGUCCCUGCCCUUUGUACACACCGCCCGUCGCUACUACCGAUUGAACGGUUUAGUGAGGGCCUCGGAUUGGUCUCGGCCCGCUCUUUACCGGGCGGCGCCGUUGGUCGAGAAGACGCUCGAACUUGAUCGUUUAGAGGAAGUAAAAGUCGUAACA
rnacentral:rRNA from 1 species